AUUGAACGCUGGCGGCAGGCCUAACACAUGCAAGUCGAGCGGAUGAAGGGAGCUUGCUCCUGGAUUCAGCGGCGGACGGGUGAGUAAUGCCUAGGAAUCUGCCUGGUAGUGGGGGAUAACGUCCGGAAACGGGCGCUAAUACCGCAUACGUCCUGAGGGAGAAAGUGGGGGAUCUUCGGACCUCACGCUAUCAGAUGAGCCUAGGUCGGAUUAGCUAGUUGGUGGGGUAAAGGCCUACCAAGGCGACGAUCCGUAACUGGUCUGAGAGGAUGAUCAGUCACACGGGAACUGAGAACCGGUCCAGACUCCUACGGGAGGAAGCAGGGGGGAAUUUUGACCAAGGGGCGAAGGCCUGACCCAGCAAUCCGGGGUGUGGAAGGAAGGUUUCCGGAUUGUAAACAUCUUUAAGUUGGGAGGAAGGAAAGUAAGUAAAUCCCUUCUUGUUUGGACUUUACAAAAAAAAAAAGCCCCGGCUAACUUCGUG
rnacentral:rRNA from 1 species